GGGCCUGUAACUUAAUGGAUAGAGUACCCGGCUUCGGACCGGGCAAUCGGGGUUCGAAUCCUCGCAGGCCCA
rnacentral:tRNA from 1 species